rnacentral:lncRNA from 1 species
GAAAGUUCUAUCCUUUUUUAACACCAUUUGGCCCACUAUGCCCAGGAGAAAGGCCUCUGGUUUCUUAGGGAAGGUAUAUUUAAAUACCUUUUUUAAUUCAUUAUAUAUCAUUUCCCAGAAAGCCUUAAUCUUUGGGCACGUCCACCAAAGAUGAAAAAAUGUACCUUCAGUUUGUUUACAUUUCCGUUUCCAGAGGUACUUUAAACGAUUAUACACUCAAGGGCCAUUGAAAGAAACAGACCUAGACCAAUUUUUGAAAACAAAUGGAUUACAAAAAAUAUCUCAAGAAAAUAAAUUAAUUUUGAAUCAUAGAAUAACCGAACAGGAAAUAGAAGGUGCCAUUCAAAACAUGCAAUUGGGUAAAUCUCCAGGACCAGACGGCUUGACCUCUAGAUACUACAGAUCUUUAAAAGAAUGGUUAAUUCAACCUUUGAAAGAGGUCUGCAACGAAAUAAUGGAGGGGAAAAGAGCACCAGAGUCGUGGAAAGAAGCAUAUAUUACACUUGUACCGAAAACAGAAACUGAAAAGACACAGCUUAAGAACUACCGCCCUAUAUCAUUACUUAAUGUGGAUUACAAAAUUUUUGCAGAUAUUUUGGCUAAGAGAUUUUAAAAAGUGUUGAUGGAAGAGAUUCACAAAGACCAAGCGGGCUUUCUCCCAGGAAGACAUUUGUCUGACAAUUUGAGGAAUAUAAUUGAUAUCUUGGAAAAAUUAGAAGUGAAUAUAAAUACCAAAGCAGUUUUGAUAUUUGUAGACGCGGAGAAAGCCUUUGACAAUAUUUCUUGGAAUUUUAUGAAGAAGAAUCUACAGGGUAUGGGGGUAGGCCAAGGUUUUGAGAAUGGUAUAAGUGCAAUUUAUUCAGAACAAAAGGCUAAACUAAUUGUAAAUAAUGUUGUGACGGAAGAACUUAAAAUUGAAAAAGGGACACGACAAGGUUGCCCAAUUUCCCCACUUCUUUUUAUUUCGGUCCUUCAUAACAUAAGCUAGAGACCAAAUACUGACCCAUUCACUUAUGAUUUUAGAAUGAUUUUAGAGUGGUGUGUUGUGUUGUACUGUUGUACUGUUUUAUUGUUGUUAGCCGCCCUGAGCCCGGCUUCGGCUGGGGAGGGCGGGAUAUAAAUGAAAUUAUUAUUAUUAUUAUUAUUAUUAUUAUUAUUAUUACUACUACUACUCAUUUACACUGACCCAGACCCACAUGUCCUAAUAAGGACAACAGUUGUUGGGGAAAUUUUCCAUUGCCUAGCAACUUGUUUAAGACUGUUUUCAUGUUUCUUCUAGAAUAUUCCAACAUUGGCCUCACUCUUCCCACCUUCCUAAUUUAAGUCCAAGGAGCUUGUAGUCAUAGCAGUUAUUAUAGGUUCAUUUUCAUCAUUCAUUAUUUAUGCACAAUUAAGAGAGAUUUAUAUUGAUGGAGCGUUAAUCCAAAAACAACUGUGUGUGUUUCCUUUCUGCAGUGCUGGGUAGAAUCAACAUGCAAUACUGUAAGAAUCCAAUGCCAUCUUAAGUUCUUGUUCCCAGGUGCUCCUUUGUAUUCAGAUCAGGCCUCAGCACAAUAACGUAGCACUUGGGGAGGAAGAUGCAGCCCAGGAGCCCAGCACUGGAGGCCAACAUAGAGAAGAUCUGCACGGCCACCAUGUACUUGCCCUUGGUGCUCAGGUAGGUGGGCACAAAAGACACCCAAACACUGCAGAAGACCAGCAUGCUGAAGGUGAUCAGCUUGGCUUCGUUGAAGGAGCCGGGCAGCUUCCUGGCUAGGAAAGCCACCGUGAAGCAGAUGGCAGCCAAGAAGCCCAGGUAGCCGAGGGCAACGUAGAACAUGGCCACAGAGCCUUCGUUGCAUUGCAAGAUGAUCUCUUCCACCUGGGAGUGCAUGUCAGACUCUGGAAAUGGGGGAGAAGAGCCCAGCCAGAUGGUGCAGAUGAGAACUUGCACACCAGAACAGGAGAUGACAAUGGAGUUGGCCAGACUCUUCCCUAACCAUCUCCUCACCCUGUUCCCGGGCUUUGUGGCCAGGAAGGCCAGCACCACCGUGAUGGUCUUGGCCAAGAGAGAAGAAACAGCAAUGGAGAAGAUGAUGCUGAAGGCCGUUUGUCGGAGAAGGCAGGUCUCUUUCCUUGGGCGCCCGAUGAAGAGGAAGGAGGACAAAAAGGAAAACAGGAGGGAGACGAGCAGGAUGUAGGAGAGGUCCCGGUUGUUGGCUUUGACUAUGGGAGUUUCCUUGUAUUUAAUGAAGAUUUCUAACACAAUGCCUGCUGUAGAAGAUAAGAAGAGGACAAUGGAAGCUAAGGUAAUCCCCAGAUGGUCUUCAUAAGCCAGGAAGGUGAUAAUCUUGGGGACACAUUGAUCUCUGACCUUGUUUGGAUGCUGAUCUUCUGGGCAUUUGGUGCAACGUUCUGCAUCUGAGGAAGAGGAAAAGAGUGGCUUCAGCAUCCCUUACAUCCAUGACCACCUGUGCUCCGGAAAUAAGAAUGUGUAAAGAGUGGCAAGCAAUUCUUUGUUCCUUUUCUGCAAAGGGC